GAUUUCAAUGAAUGAUAGCGGAUUUCUACUCCGCGGGUUGCAGGUUCGAGUCCUGCCGGGAUCGCCA
rnacentral:tRNA from 1 species